rnacentral:rRNA from 1 species
CAGCCGCCGCGGUAAUACCGGCGGCCCGAGUGGCGGUCACUAUUAUUGGGCUUAAAGCGUCCGUAGCCGGGUUGGGAAGUCCUCCGGGAAAUCUGGCCGCUUAACGGUCAGAAUGCCGGAGGAUACUCCCAGCCUAGGGAGCGGGAGAGGCCGAGGGUAUUCCCGGAGUAGGGGUGAAAUCCUAUAAUCCCGGGAGGACCACCUGUGGCGAAGGCGCUCGGCUGGAACGCGUCCGACGGUGAGGGACGAAGGCCAGGGGAGCAAACCGGAGUAGAUACCCGGGUAGUCCUGGCUGUAAACGAUGCGGACUUUGUGUCGGACAAGCUAUGAGCUUGUCCGGUGCCGGAGGGAAACCGUUAAGUCCGCCGCCUGGGGAGUACGGCCGCAAGGCUGAAACUUAAAGGAAUUGGCGGG